GGCCCGGCGGCGUGAGGGGCCCGGCGGCGUGAGGGGCCCGGCGGCGUGAGGGGCCCGGCGGCGUGAGGGGCCCGGCGCACAGCAGCGACCGUUUCGGGGCUACUAAAAGAUGAAUUAAAACCUUAGGAAAAGCCCUCUCUCCUCCUAGAGAAGCUUCUUGGAGUCAUGAGGAAGCUGGGCACGCACAAGUUUGGAGGUGACACAUCCAGGCCUGCUGACCCCAACUGACACAAGGAUUAUUCCAUACUUUGUGACACCACACUCAGUAUAUAAAGAAGGGGUAAGAAAGAGGAAGUGGGGGGAUGUUUGGAGUGAUGGCCUAGGUCUUCAGAAGUAACUGUCAGACGUGCUGGAGCCCUGCUGUCCUGGAGGUGGCUGGACACCUGACUGCCCAUGGAAGGUAGUGAAUGAAUUCCUUUACUUUGCUUUUGUAUGCGGCUUUUGUUUCACCUAUUAAACUGUCUUUAUCUCAACCCACAAGUCUUUUCACUUUUACCCUUCUGAUUCUAUCACCAGUAGAUAUCCCACCUCACUGGUGGGAGAGUGAGGGAGUGGCUGUGUGAGGCUUAGUUUUCCACUGGGCUAAAACCACAACAAUCCUCUUGCACUUACCAUUCACUCACUAUUCCCUAUUCUCACAGAUUCAGUGAGGAUUACAGACCAGAUGUACUCUAAAGAACAAAGUUCCUGUCCUUGUCCCCAUCCUUGAUCUCCAGGUUUUUGGAACAGUGGAGAAUAGUGUGUUUUUCUUCUAGACAAUAUUAUAUAUGCCUGAAUUUCCUUUCCCUUAAGAUGAAAUAUGGCCAGGCACUCCUCAUCUCCCAGUAUAGGUAGACAGAGCCUUAAAAACCUUAUGACAGUAACACAAGAGAGAUUGGUCCCUGGUCUCCUUUAUACUCAAGCUGUUGCUGGAUCAUUACCCAAAUAAAUCACUGUAAAUUCUCUUAGGAUUAACAGAGCUUAGAUAUAAAGAAGAAUUUUGUGUCCCACUUUCAUACCAGUGGACAGUACUAUGGUAUACUUCUCCUUUGCCACUUUUUUGUCAAGAUGCUUUUUUGGGAGAGGGUUUUUUAUAAUUUUUUUUUUCUCUUUAAAGAAAGAGUAAGAGGUUGACAUAAGCUGACAUAAUAAUCUUAAAAGCCAUAAUUAAUAUCCUCUCUCUCUCUCUUUUCCUGCCCCCCCCAGAAGAGAUGUCUUCCAGUCGAUGUAGUGGGCAGUCUGGUCUGGUAUUUUUUUAUUGUCAGGGGUUUUUCUGUGUAAAUGGUUUCUUUUCUUAUAUAUUUUGUUACUAAUAUUGUUGCCAUUACUGUUCUAUUUUGCUAAUACUGUUUGUUUGCUAAUCUCAUUGUUGUUUCCAGUAAAUUGUUCCUAUUUCAACCUGUGA